AGUGGAGAAGGAAUUGAACCAACAUCAAAAAAUUCAAAAUUUUACGUAUUUCUAUUUUACUACCCACUA
rnacentral:tRNA from 1 species